rnacentral:rRNA from 1 species
GACGAACGCUGGCGGCGUGCUUAACACAUGCAAGUCGAACGGAAAGGCCCUGCUUUUGUGGGGUGCUCGAGUGGCGAACGGGUGUGUAACACGUGAGUAACCUGCCCUUGACUUUGGGAUAACUUCAGGAAACUGGGGCUAAUACCGGAUAGGAGCUCCUGCUGCAUGGUGGGGGUUGGAAAGUUUCGGCGGUUGGGGAUGGACUCGCGGCUUAUCAGCUUGUUGGUGGGGUAGUGGCUUACCAAGGCUUUGACGGGUAGCCGGCCUGAGAGGGUGACCGGCCACAUUGGGACUGAGAUACGGCCCAGACUCCUACGGGAGGCAGCAGUGGGGAAUAUUGCACAAUGGGCGGAAGCCUGAUGCAGCAACGCCGCGUGCGGGAUGACGGCCUUCGGGUUGUAAACCGCUUUCGCCUGUGACGAAGCGUGAGUGACGGUAAUGGGUAAAGAAGCACCGGCUAACUACGUGCCAGCAGCCGCGGUGAUACGUAGGGUGCGAGCGUUGUCCGGAUUUAUUGGGCGUAAAGGGCUCGUAGGUGGUUGAUCGCGUCGGAAGUGUAAUCUUGGGGCUUAACCCUGAGCGUGCUUUCGAUACGGGUUGACUUGAGGAAGGUAGGGGAGAAUGGAAUUCCUGGUGGAGCGGUGGAAUGCGCAGAUAUCAGGAGGAACACCAGUGGCGAAGGCGGUUCUCUGGGCCUUUCCUGACGCUGAGGAGCGAAAGCGUGGGGAGCGAACAGGCUUAGAUACCCUGGUAGUCCACGCUGUAAACGGUGGGUACUAGGUGUGGGGUCCAUUCCACGGGUUCCGUGCCGUAGCUAACGCUUUAAGUACCCCGCCUGGGGAGUACGGCCGCAAGGCUAAAACUCAAAGGAAUUGACGGGGCCCCGCACAAGCGGCGGAGCAUGCGGAUUAAUUCGAUGCAACGCGUAGAACCUUACCUGGGUUUGACAUGGAUCGGGAGCGCUCAGAGAUGGGUGUGCCUCUUUUGGGGUCGGUUCACAGGUGGUGCAUGGCUGUCGUCAGCUCGUGUCGUGAGAUGUUGGGUUAAGUCCCGCAACGAGCGCAACCCUUGUUCACUGUUGCCAGCACGUUAUGGUGGGGACUCAGUGGAGACCGCCGGGGUCAACUCGGAGGAAGGUGGGGAUGACGUCAAGUCAUCAUGCCCCUUAUGUCCAGGGCUUCACGCAUGCUACAAUGGCUGGUACAGAGAGUGGCGAGCCUGUGAGGGUGAGCGAAUCUCGGAAAGCCGGUCUCAGUUCGGAUUGGGGUCUGCAACUCGACCUCAUGAAGUCGGAGUCGCUAGUAAUCGCAGAUCAGCAACGCUGCGGUGAAUACGUUCCCGGGGCU